GGGCCUAUAGCUCAAUUGGCAGAGCAACGGACUUUUAAUCCGUGGGUUGGGGGUUCGAUUCCCCCUGGGCCUACCA
rnacentral:tRNA from 3 species